GUUGUCUAUGCUGUCCUGUGGAGAAUCACUCCAUGACGGAGAUCCAGGCAGUGGACAAACCCCAGGGUGCAAUUUACUAUUUUGGUUUCCUGCAUGAAUUCCAGGAAUUGUCUUGUUAACCUUUAGAUCAGCAGUCAGUGGCAGAAGAAAUCUGAUCGAGCAGUUCCGUACACAGGGUUAAUGUUUAAUACAUGAAGGAAUGGAAGGUUUAGAGGAGCAUGUUCAUCUCAUCCUGCCAAUCACAACCCAAAGGGUUACAUCACUGACCAAUGGCUGCACUGAUGAAAGCAAAUGUAUCAGACUCUUUUUCUGAUGGGCUUUUGGACACGUGAGACCAGCUGAACAUUUUAUUCAAUAACAAUUCGACUUUAUUGCAUUACAAAGGGGGGAGAGAUCAAAGCCCUCAGUGUCUGAUAAUGAAGACUGAAGGCCAAGGAAAUCGCACUGCCCAAGAAUAUCACCC
ensembl:lncRNA